CCCCUCCCGGGUCCCGGACUCUUCCCUGGAGGGCCGCGACGGCGUCUGUGUGCGUGCUUGUGUUUUAUUUGCGCAGGGUUCAGUAAAACGGGGUUUGGGUUGCAUUUCGCUCCCCACAGACCCAGAGCCGAAUUUCUGAGGUAUCCGGGCUCUGGUGGACUGAGGGGGGCGACGCGCCCCGCGCCACAGCAUCCUUUGAGAGCUCAUCCAAGUGCCGGGAGCUGCCUCCGCGGGAGCCGCGCACCCGCCCCCAGCCCGCGCGACGAGAGCACGCGGCUACGUGGGCGGCAGCCGCGAGGGUGGCUGCGCGCGUGGGAGCGCCGGGAGCAUGCGUGUGCGGGUGCGUGCGGCUGCAGGGCGCGCGCCCGAGCGCGGCCGCGGGGUUUCUCGGCGCUGGCGAGCGGUGGCCGAGCCCGAGGCUCCUCAGAAUGGCGCCUUCGCCAGGAAUCAGUUGAGCUCUACAAGCCACUGGCAGCACUUCAGUCUUCACUGGUCCUUGGAGGCGAACAUGACGAACAGGGGAAGAGAUGCAUCAAUCCCAGCUCCUACCUCCUGGCUAAGGAUGGAACAGCCUUAAGUAGGAGGAUGUGUGGUCCCACCUACAGCCAAUGGCAUCCUGGAUCUAGGCGGCGGACACUCUCCUCCCAGAGCUGAGCCUCCUGCUGAAAGACGAACACUGGGUUCUCUUACUGUCUUUCAACAAGUCACCUUUGCUCAGGGUAGGAGCGUGUUAUAAGACAGUGUUUCCUAGUCACUCCUCUGCCCCCCCCCACCCCACUCUCCUCUCUCCCUUUCUUCCCUUUAGAUGUGCUUAUAAGAGGCUCAGAGCCAG
rnacentral:lncRNA from 1 species